GAUGAACGCUGGCGGCGUGCCUAAUACAUGCAAGUCGAGCGAACAGACGAGAGUGCUUGCACUCUCUGACGUUAGCGGCGGACGGGUGAGUAACACGUGGGUAACCUACCUAUAAGACUGGGAUAACUUCGGGAAACCGGAGCUAAUACCGGAUAAUAUUUAGCUUCGCAUGAAGCAAUAGUGAAAGACGGUUCUGCUGUCACUUAUAGAUGGACCCGCGGUGUAUUAGCUAGUUGGUGAGGUAACGGCUCACCAAGGCAACGAUACAUAGCCGACCUGAGAGGGGGAUCGGGCACACUGGGACUGGGACACGGCCCAGACUACUACGGGAGGCAGCAGUAGGGAAACUUCCGCAAUGGACGAAAGUAUGACGGAGCAAUGCCGCGUGAGUGAAGAAGGUUUUCGGAUCGUAAAACUCUGUUGUAAGGGAAGAACAAGUACGUUAGUAACUGAACGUACCUUGACGGUACCUUACCAGAAAGCCACGGCUAACUACGUG
rnacentral:rRNA from 1 species